rnacentral:rRNA from 1 species
AGCAGCCGCGGUAAUUCCAGCUCCAAUAGCGUAUAUUAAAGUUGUUGCAGUUAAAAAGCUCGUAGUUGAAUUUCGGGAUCAAAUUGUCGGUCGUGCCUCGGUACGUACUGGCGUUAUUGGUUCCUACCUUCUGAAGAACCACGAUGUCAUUAAUUUGGUGUCGCGGGGAAUCAGGACUGUUACUUUGAAAAAAUUAGAGUGUUUAAAGCAGGCUCGCGCUUGAAUACAUUAGCAUGGAAUAAUGAAAUAGGACGUUUGAUUCUAUUUUGUUGGUUUCUAGGAUCGACGUAAUGAUUAAUAGGGAUAGUUGGGGGCAUUAGUAUUCAAUUGUCAGAGGUGAAAUUCUUGGAUUUAUUGAAGACUAACUACUGCGAAAGCAUUUGCCAAGGAUGUUUUCAUUAAUCAAGAACGAAAGUUAGGGGAUCGAAGACGAUCAGAUACCGUCGUAGUCUUAACCAUAAACUAUGCCGACUAGGGAUCGGAUGAUGUUAAUUUUUUAAUGACUCAUUCGGCGCCUUACG